AAAUAAAGUCUUACCUGCAGGAAACAUUAACCCAAGACCAGAGAAAUCCUCAGGGAGGAGCCCGCAGCCCUGGAGGGCAUGCAUGGCUGAAAGGGAGGGCACGGCAAGAAGACAGCCAUCUGCAGCCAGGAAGAAGGCUCUCAUCUGAACCCAACCCUGAUCUCAGACUUCUAGCCUCCAGAACUGUGAGAAAGGAAUGCUGUAAAAUGGCCAUCUCCCUGAGACAAGACCACAUCCUUGACAUCCUCGUACUGGCUGUGAAGAUCCAGACUCUAACUUUCCCUGCUCUGGCUGCUCGAUGAGAGAAAAAAAAAGGACCAAGGAAAAUGCCCAAACUGUAUUGCAUUGGGUGGAAGUGUGUCCCCUCCAAGUUCACGUCCACCUGGAACCUCAGAAUUCGACUUUCUUUGAAAACAGGGUCUUUGCAGAUGUAAUUAGUUAAAGAUGAGGUCAGAUUGGAGUAGGGUGGGUCCUUACCCAAUGACUGGCAUCCUUAUAAAAAGAGAAAGCACAGACAGCUGGGCAGAAGGCAAGGUUACCACGGAGGCUGAGACUGGAGUGAUGUGCCUACAGGCCAAGGAACGCCAUGGAUGGCUGGCAACAUCAGAAGUCAGAAAGAGGCCGGGAAGGAUCCUCCCCUAGACCUUUUGGAGGGAGUAUGGCCCUGUGGACACCUUGAUUUCAGACUUCUGGCCUCCAGAACCGUGAGAGAAUAAACUUCUGUUGUUCUAAGCCACUCAGCUCGUGGUACUUUGUUAUGACAGCCCCAGGAAACCAAAGCAUGUAUACUCGCAGCAUAGCAGUCAUGUCUUGCACAAUAAAUAUCUGAUGAAUGAAUGAGUAUAUGAGAUCAGAGGGUGUUAAUACACACGAAACAGCCAGGUGGCCAAGAUCAAGAUGUACUGAUACAUUCCCCAAGUUGACACUGUCCAC